GAGGAGCCUGCGGCGGAUUAGCUAGUUGGUAAGGUAACGGCUUACCAAGGCGAUGAUCCGUAGCCGGCCUGAGAGGGCGGUCGGCCACACUGACACUGACAUACGGGUCAGACUCCUACGGGAGGCAGCAGUCGGGAAUUUUGGGCAAUGGGCGAAAGCCUGACCCAGCAACGCCGCGUGAAGGAUGAAAUCCCUCGGGAUGUAAACUUCGCAAGAACGGGAAGAAUAAGUAAGAGUUAAUAUCUCUUAUGAUGACGGUACUGUUUGUAAGCUCCGGCUAACUCCGUGCCAGCAGCCGCGGUAAUACGGGGGGAGCAAGCGUUGUUCGGAUUUACUGGGCGUAAAGGGCGCGUAGGCGGCCACCGCAAGUCGACUGUGAAAUCUCCGGGCUUAACCCGGAACGGUCAGCCGAUACUGCGGGGCUAGAGUGCAGAAGGGGCAACUGGAAUUCUCGGUGUAGCGGUGAAAUGCGUAGAUAUCGAGAGG
rnacentral:rRNA from 1 species